rnacentral:rRNA from 1 species
UACGAAGGGGGGCUAGCGUUGCUCGGAAUCACUGGGCGUAAAGGGUGCGUAGGCGGGUCUUUAAGUCAGGGGUGAAAUCCUGGAGCCUCAACUCCAGAACUGCCUUUGAUACUGAGGAUCUUGAGUCCGGGAGAGGUGAGUGGAACUGCGAGUGUAGAGGUGAAAUUCGUAGAUAUUCGCAAGAACACCAGUGGCGAAGGCGGCUCACUGGACCGGUUCUGACGCUGAGGCGCGAAAGCGUGGGGAGCAAACGGG